rnacentral:sRNA from 1 species
GCAGCACAAGGAAGAAGCCUGGGUGAUUGGCAGUGUGGUUGCACGAGCUGAAGGUUCCCCACGUGUGAAAGUCAAGAAUCUGAUUGACAGCAUGCAAAUAAAUGGGUCAGUGUUGAAGAAUGACUCCCUGACAAAUCAUUUCUCUUUUGAAAAAAAAAAGGCCAGAGUGGCUGUCUUAAUAUCUGGAACAGGUGAGAUGUGGCUUCCUCUUCACUGUAGAGCUGUUGACUGCCCUUCCUUUCCUCCCCGCACUCUUAUGAGGUUGUAAGGAUACUCUCGGCAGAGUCUAGGGACUGGGGGGAAUCAUGAGGGUUGUCUUUGUCUUUCAGCAUUCUUAGUCUUUCCACUUUUCUUAGGAAUUUGAGACAGCUCCCAAAGAAAAAAGUAAAGGAUUUCAGAAAGCUG